UACGUAGGGGGCAAGCGUUGUCCGGAUUCAUUGGGCGUAAAGAGCGUGUAGGCGGCCAGGUAGGUCGGUUGUGAAAACUGGAGGCUCAACCUUCAGACGUCGACCGAAACCAUCUGGCUAGAGUUCGGUAGGGGAGACUGGAAUUCCUGGUGUAGCGGUGAAAUGCGCAGAUAUCAGGAGGAACACCGGUGGCGAAGGCGGGUCUCUGGGCCGAUACUGACGCUGAGGAGCGAAAGCGUGGGGAGCGAACAGG
rnacentral:rRNA from 1 species